UAAUAAAUAGCCUUUUAAUUGGAGGCCAGUGAAUGGCAAGACUAGGGACAUCUGUACCCUGUAUAGAAAAACAACUUUUCAUUCGGGUGAAAAGACCCGUAUAAUAAAGGAAGACGAAAAGACCCCGCGGAACUUUACCUUUUCCAGUAUCCAUAUGCUCAGAAACACAAAAACAAAAGGUUUGAUUGGGGCAAUCUCGGAACCACCCAAACUUCCGACUUACAACAUAAAAAUAUAUAGAAUUCAAUAAGGACCAAAAAGAAGUUACCCCGGGGAUAACAGCGUAAUCCAACUUGAGAGUACAUAUCGAAAGCUGGG
rnacentral:rRNA from 1 species